rnacentral:rRNA from 1 species
UACGGGGGGAGCAAGCGUUGUUCGGAUUUACUGGGCGUAAAGGGCGCGUAGGCGGCGCAACAAGUCACUUGUGAAAUCUCCGGGCUUAACCCGGAGCGGUCAAGUGAUACUGCCUGGCUAGAGUCCGGAAGAGGCGAGUGGAAUUCCUGGUGUAGCGGUGAAAUGCGCAGAUAUCAGGAGGAACACCGAUGGCGAAGGCAGCUCGCUGGGACGGUACUGACGCUGAGGCGCGAAAGCGUGGGGAGCAAACAGG